rnacentral:tRNA from 2 species
GCCCCCAUCGUCUAGAGGCCUAGGACACCACCCUUUCAAGGUGGAGAUCGCGGGUUCGAAUCCCGCUGGGGGCAC